GCAAGUUGAACGGUAACAGAGGUGCUUGCACCUGCUGACGAGUAGCGAAAGGGUGAGUAACCCGUGAGCAACCUGCCUUAAAGUCGGGGAUAACCCUUGGAAACGAGGACUAAUACCGGAUGUGGUUAUUUGAUCGCAUGAUCUUAUAACUAAAAUCUUUUUGCUUUAAGAUGGGCUCGCGUACCAUCAGCUAGUUGGUAAGGUAACGGCUUACCAAGGCUACGACGGUUAGGUGGUCUGAGAGGACGAUC
rnacentral:rRNA from 1 species